GUAGGUGAACCUGCGGAAGGAUCAUUAACACGAAACUCCACGUUUCAUACCAACCUGUGGUCUUGUAACUUUCAGUUUUUUGGAAAAAACGGGAAAAGGCGGGCAACUGCUCUUUUUCGGCUUUUUCAAAGAAUUUUUAUUCAUACAAAACCCCUUGUAUCAUCUAUUGACUGAACCAAUAGAAGCUUUUGAGUACCUUUGGGCGCUCGCUUCUUGAUAUUACGAAACUCUGAACAACUCUAAGCAACGG
rnacentral:misc_RNA from 1 species